rnacentral:lncRNA from 1 species
UGGAGCCAGAGACAUCAGACAGUGGUUCAAUGACAAGUGGUCCUGUAUCUGGACGUGGAGGCAUGGGUGGAGGUGCAGGUGCGCGGAGCACACGAGGACCUGCUUCUGCCGCUGUGCGCCCCUUACCUGCUUUGAAGGAGAAUGUGAAGCGGGUGAUGUUUUACUGCUAGGUUAUUCAGAUGACCCAGUACCUACCUUAUCAUAUUUGGAUUGUUAUGUAGGAUGA